rnacentral:rRNA from 1 species
GAUGAACGCUGGCGGCGUGCUUAACACAUGCAAGUCGAACGGAAAGGCCCAAGCUUGCUUGGGUACUCGAGUGGCGAACGGGUGAGUAACACGUGGGUGAUCUGCCCUGCACUUCGGGAUAAGCCUGGGAAACUGGGUCUAAUACCGGAUAGGACGAUGGUUUGGAUGCCAUUGUGGAAAGUUUUUUCGGUGUGGGAUGAGCUCGCGGCCUAUCAGCUUGUUGGUGGGGUAAUGGCCUACCAAGGCGUCGACGGGUAGCCGGCCUGAGAGGGUGUACGGCCACAUUGGGACUGAGAUACGGCCCAGACUCCUACGGGAGGCAGCAGUGGGGAAUAUUGCACAAUGGGCGCAAGCCUGAUGCAGCGACGCCGCGUGGGGGAUGACGGCCUUCGGGUUGUAAACUCCUUUCGCUAGGGACGAAGCGUUUUUGUGACGGUACCGGGAGAAGAAGCACCGGCUAACUACGU